AGCGGAGGGAUUGCUUGUUACUGAGUACUCUACUGAACUGUCAAUUUGUUCGUUGUCAGGGGGCUAUAUCGAGUUUGGUUGCCAUAAUAAUGGUUGCCUCGCGAAUUGGAAAUGCUUUACCGAAUCCCAGGAUAUCGCCAAGUGUGCCAUAUUGUCAUAAUCGUUUUCCUCCUUAGGAUGGUUACCAAUGUGCAGUUGAAUUCUAAAAGGUUUUGUUUGAUAUGCUAUAUUUAAAGAACUGAUGUUGGCACCAGCUUGAUGGGAAAAAGUCAUUUCCAAUGUGGGCACGGAAACUUGGAUUUAUUUGGUGAUAGUCAGAUGAUUUUCCUGAAGUUGAAGUUUGAAAUAACCUUUCAAAGCCUAAACUCAUCUUUGUAGAAAGGGACUUGUGAGAAGUAACGCUGGCUCUGUAAUUGUUCUUGGUUUGGGGCAAGACGUUGAAUAAAUUGUGAUGAUUGGAUGGACAAGAUGGAAUUCCUACACUUCAUUCAUAUUCCCCAAACGGUAUUUAAAAUUCAAAAAUUGAAGUGCAUAUCUGGGCUCCCUUCCUUUCCGUAGCCCCGUUUCCCCUUGACUCGUAAUAAGCCCGUAGGGGGUCAUGCCCCUACUGUACGGUAUAUUUAAAAAUAACAUAUACCGAGGUUUGGAGGGCUCUGGCCGGAAAGGGGACGUGGGGGUCCGCUUAGUCCGAUGAUGUGUUCACGGAGGGCGAGGUGGCAACCCACAAAUCCGAACUAAAGGUUAAUCGCUCCAGUAAAAAUGUUCCAUAUCUUCGGCUCUU